rnacentral:lncRNA from 1 species
UGCGAUUGACUUGCAACCGGGCUGAACAUCCCCACCACUGCAUAAUUCGCUCGGUGAGACAAACAGCGGCGCGGUGUGGCAUUCGUAGGUCGAAGAUCGCGUCGUUAAAACGUAUCAACUCGCGACAGGUUAUUGGCGUCAGUUAAGAAGACAUAUUGGCGCCAAGAAACAGGAAUUCAAAUAUGGACGCCAUAACGGUCAAAAUUUAAUUUAAUGGUUUUUCAUGGAGAUGGAUAAGUUUAUAUUGCCCUUUCAUUGAAUCAUUGAUCUGUCCCAUUGUCUACCACUUACCAGUUCUUCGAGAGGACCUAAUGAUGCUUCAAAAGCCAAGUAUAUUUUUCACACCCUCUACUUCUACCAUGGGCUUUGAUGGUUCUUCCUUGAUGAUGUCUUCUAGACUAUUGCAGCGGUGCUGACAACGUCCUACGCAUCUAAUUUUUGUUUCAGAAACCAAUCAUGGAAUCAACGACAGAAGACUAGGAUCUCCUAUAUCCCUUUCCUUCUCUAUAUUAUAUUCAGAUUGUUAGAUAGAUAGAAACCAUAAAAGAAUUAUUAGGUCUCUAUAUACGUACGUGUAUAGAGUCUGAAUAAAACUUUUAGACUUGUAUUGCGUAGGGACUGUACGAAAUCUCUAGUUGAUCAGUGAUAGAAUUAGUAAGGCGAAAAACAUGUUUCAAAGUUCGUGAAAAAUAUUCAAUAUUUUGAAAGAUACGUUUGUUCCAUGCAAUAUCCCUUUCCCGUCCCUUAUUAUAGUCAGAUAUUUAUAGGAUUUAUCGAAAUUAUUAAAUUGACGAUAGAUAGGAUAGUUUAGAUUUAUAAUUAGGAUUAGGUUUAGAUUUAUAAUUAUUGUUUUAAAAAAAUCUUAGUACUAAGUAUGGGUAUUUAAUUUUGCUUAUUGGUAAUUAGUUGCAUGGAUGUAGUUGACGUAGUAGAAAAGGUAGUU